rnacentral:rRNA from 1 species
GACGAACGCUGGCGGCGUGCUUAACACAUGCAAGUCGAACGGGCCUGUCUUCUUUUUUGGGGGUGGGUUGAGUGGCGAACGGGUGAGUAUCACGUGAGUAACCUGCCCUUCGGUCCUGGAUAACCGCUUGAAAGGGCGGCUAAUACGGGGUGGUCCGGUUGGUCCGCAUGGGCUGGUCGGGAUAGAUUCACUGUUUUUGGUGUUUCGGCGGGGGAUGGGCUCGCGGCCUAUCAGCUUGUUGGUGGGGUGAUGGCCUACCAAGGCGGUGACGGGUAGCCGGCAUGGGGGGGUGGGCGGCCAGACUGGGUCAGGGGUCCGGCCCAGACUGCUGCGGGAGGCAGCAGUGGGGGGUAUUGCACAAUGGGGGGAAGUCUGAUGCAGCGACGUGGCGUGAGGGAUGGAGGCGUUCGGGUUGUGAACCUCUGUUUCCGGUGGUGAAGGCCCUGUCCGUGUGGUGGGGUUGACGGUAGCCGGGGAUGAAGCGCCGGCUAACUACGUG